GUUUGCCAAUCCACCCAAAAUUAUUUGACUAUUUCACUUCCCCCUCACCAAAAUCAAGUUUCCCUCUCAAUUCUCCCAAAACUCACGACCCCGCCGCCUGAUGCCGCCAAAUCGCAUUUCCCUCUCGUAUGUUUCAAUUCUCCCAAAACUCACGUUCCUCCCACCCCCGCCUCACUCACGUUUCCCUCUCAUAGGGUUUCAAUUCUCCCAAAACUCAAGUUCCUCCCUUUCCCAAUUUUAAUUCCUCCCCCAAAUUAGUAUCCUUCCCCUCAUCCUCUUAAUUCGAGCAAGAGAUUGCUUUUCCACUGAUAGCAGGAUUUGUUGCAGCGAAACACCUUCGGCUUUUUUAGGGCAAAAUUUUGUAACUGAAAAUUCCAGAUGAAAAAUCGAACAUUUUUUUAACUAAGAGGGAGUAUUGGAGCUUGAUGAAGGGCUGCUGGAAACAUACGCAAGAGUGGUCGAGCUUGAGGAAGAGCUGCUGGAAAUAGAGGCAAUUGUCAAGGCCAAUGAAAUAACAAAAGUCUAUCAAGUUUGAAGGUGCCCAGCUUGUAGAAAAUACAAGCCCCAAUAUGAGAAGGUUGCAGAGAUUUUUAAUGGAGCAGAUGCUGCCCACCUGAGAAUCAUAUUGUUGACCAGAGUAGAUUGCGCCCAAAAGGUAGUAAAAUAAAAUCCGAAAACCAUCGUCCGAACGCCUGCGAUGAUCGUCCCGACCUUAAGGCCACCGCCCGACUAAGUAUCAGGCGUGUCACCGCAUCAUUCGUCCCAUUGCCGAUUCUUUUAGGCGUCAAUCAAACUCUCUUAUUUUUUACUACCACUUUGUAGCAGAAGAAGAAUGACCUCCGCCGCCUGCGGCCGUGCGGCCGUAUGUUUCAGCUCCAAACCGACCCACUCACCGGCAAAUCAGAGUGGCUCGUUAUCCAAGACGAAGAUGAUCAACUCCAAACAACCCCCAAAUCACUUCUCGCAACCACGUCUUACCUCGACAUGCUCAACGAUUCCCGCCGCAACGCCGCCUACCGUCUCGCCAUCGAUAACACCGUCACUACACCCUCCCACGUCCUCGACAUUGGGGCAGGGACGGGUUUGCUGUCGAUGAUGGCAGCUCGAGCUAUGGGGCUUUCUGAUUCAAAUGGGAUCUCUACUUCUAAAGGGAUGGUGACAGCUUGCGAGUCAUACCUUCCCAUGGUGAAGUUAAUGAGAAAGGUUUUACGAGCCAAUGCCAUGGAGGGGAAAAUUCGUCUCAUAAAUAAGAGGUCCGAUGAGUUGGAAGUUGGCUUGGAUAUCCCAUCGCGUGCUGAUAUUCUCGAAGGAUGGCAUAUCUAGUUUGUGGUGCAAUUGCUUCAGAAACAAAAGCACAAGAAGCAUUUAUCAUCUCUUAUGUGAAUUUUUUCAAUUAUAUUAACUUACAAUGGCUUGGCUGCAUUUCUUUAGCUUUGUAGAUAUUGUAAUAACCGGCGCAUUCAUCCUCUCUAACGAAAUGAAUGAAAUUAAUGAAGUGUUCAACAUAUGUACUUACAUUUGCAGUUUAUUAUGUGGGAUGACCUGCUUGCAUUUAUUCCUCGUAUCUGAACUGCAUAUGUGAAAUAAUGUCUAAGUGUCUUCUUGAUACUGCUUGCUCAAAAUGCUUUUUGACAAUGCUUGAGUUUACA